rnacentral:rRNA from 1 species
UACGUAGGGUGCGAGCGUUGUCCGGAAUUAUUGGGCGUAAAGAGCUCGUAGGCGGUGUGUCACGUCGGCCGUGAAAACCUGCAGCUUAACUGUGGGCGUGCGGUCGAUACGGGCAUCACUGGAGUUCGGCAGGGGAGACUGGAAUUCCUGGUGUAGCGGUGAAAUGCGCAGAUAUCAGGAGGAACACCGGUGGCGAAGGCGGGUCUCUGGGACGGUACUGACGCUGAGACGCGAAAGCGUGGGGAGCGAACAGG